AGAUUUUGCCUUCGGGUACAAUUGAGACAGGUGGUGCAUGGUUGUCGUCAGCUCGUGUCGUGAGAUGUUGGGUUAAGUCCCGCAACGAGCGCAACCCUUGCCUUUAGUUGCCAGCAGUUCGGCUGGGCACUCUAAAGGGACUGCCGGUGUUAAACCGGAGGAAGGUGGGGAUGACGUCAAGUCCUCAUGGCCUUUAUGACCAGGGCUACACACGUACUACAAUGGCCGAUACAAAGGGCAGCGACACUGCGAGGUGAAGCCAAUCCCGUAAAAUCGGUCUCAGUCCGGAUUGGAGUCUGCAACUCGACUCCAUGAAGUUGGAAUCGCUAGUAAUCGUGGAUCAGCAUGCCACGGUGAAUACGUUCCCGGGCCCU
rnacentral:rRNA from 1 species